UGGGUAUGUACCUCAGGUCGUCACAAGCAAUUUCACCAAUGAGCCAUCUUGGCUGCCUGUGAUAGCUUUUAAAAAUCCGUUGUCAAAUACAAAUCUCAGAAAGCCAUACUGUUUAACCAUAUGCUCUAUAAAUAUAGCAAAGGGCAGUAACUAAGAUACCGUGGAACACCUAGGAUUGGAUAUAAAUAGCUCUUGCUUCUCCUUCCCUGUGCUUUGAUGGUUGGAGUUCUUAAUCUAGUAAUGCAUUUGGUGGCAAGCUUUUGGUUUUGCUACUUUUUUUUGUAAGUUAAGAUGAAGAAAUAAAGAUCAAGUCAUUUUAAGAGGAGUAUAUAAUUGAGGUUGACUUUGUUGGAAGUAGAUGAAUUUUCUGGAGAGAUAAUCUUUUAAAAAUGACAUAUAAGGAAAAGAUAUGAUUUAGCAGAGUGCCUCUUUAUAAAACUGCCUGGCGCAGGACUAUUUUUUUCCCCAAUCAUAUACAUAAAUUAAGAGACUUGGUUUUACCUAAGGCUUUGUCUACACCAACUCAUGCUGAAAUCUGGGAACUAGGUACAUUAUAUUGCCCCAAGCUCUGAAGGACUUUGCAAAUUCUAGGGGCACUGUGGAUGAAGCAAGGUAAGGUGUUUAUUUAAAAUCUAAUUUGGAAGGGCAAUGGGAAGAUUUCUUAAUUGGUAAAGUGCUUGCCCCAUUACCCAGGUCAAAAGCAAAGAGUAGGCUGUCAGAGUAAGAGGUUGGGAGGGCCAGAGCAAAACUGAGCUGAUGCACUCAAGAACACCUGCAGUUCUCAUUCACACCGAUUCUGUAGUCACUUGUAUCAGCAUCCUAUCGUGAAAUGGGAAGGGCUUCAUGAACCCUCACCCCUAACUGAGAAGCUAUGGACAGUCAAUGGAUUCUGAGGGAGAGACAGUCAGUUUUCUAUGGACAUGGCUCCUGAUAGGUCCAUCAUGCCCUAGUGUGUGUUUAUGGAUAGUACAAAUUGGAAUUCAUGAGUUAUUAAAUUU
rnacentral:lncRNA from 1 species